CUCUUUUUACUCCACUAUUUCUUCCAGUUAUGCCCUUAUUGAAUUUGCUGCUAGUGAAAAGUAUGAAUUCUCCAGGCUGUAAGUUCUGGUUUCUAUAUCCAGUUUAAUAUGAUUUAUGCGUUCAAGCAAGUUUUUCUCAACAGAUAUGGGUGAAGACUGCUGAAGUUUUGGGCACGUGACCGUCCUCCUAGGGUCAUACACCGUCAAGCCUGUCCUUGGCAGAUUGAAACUUACAUUGAUGCCUUCGGUGGUGAACCUGAUCUUCAAUGAUGAUCUCUCGUGACAACUAAAGCUCAGUAAUUUGUAAAUCCUUGACCCUCCACGUAAUAGUAUUAAUUUAAGGGGAGAGCUACAACGUAUAUAACUGUAGCAUAU